rnacentral:rRNA from 1 species
UACGUAGGGUGCAAGCGUUAAUCGGAAUUACUGGGCGUAAAGCGUGCGCAGGCGGUUUGUAAGUCUGUCGUGAAAUCCCCGGGCUUAACCUGGGAAUUGCGAUGGAGACUGCAAGGCUAGAAUCUGGCAGAGGGGGGUAGAAUUCCACGUGUAGCAGUGAAAUGCGUAGAGAUGUGGAGGAACACCGAUGGCGAAGGCAGCCCCCUGGGUCAAGAUUGACGCUCAUGCACGAAAGCGUGGGGAGCAAACAGG